CACCGACACUUUCUUUCUCCUCCUCAUUUUACUUCCGAAAAAAAAUAUACUAUAAACGAAAAAAAAGGAGAGAGAGUGAGAGACAGCAGUAGGUAGCAACGCGGUGGUUGCGCUUCGCUUCGGUUGAGUGCUCUCUCUCCAAGCAUCCCACCCCCACCAUUAUUAUACCACCGCCUCGCUUCCUCCUCCUCCUCCUCCCCCACGCGGCGCACCAGCUAGCCAGCGCAUGUGGUGGUGCUGACCCUCGCCGCC
rnacentral:lncRNA from 1 species